GAUGAACGCUGGCGGCGUGCCUAAUACAUGCAAGUCGAGCGAAUGGACUAAGAGCCUGCUCUUAUGAAGUUAGCGGCGGACGGGUGAGUAACACGUGGGUAACCUGCCCAUAAGACUGGGAUAACUCCGGGAAACCGGGGCUAAUACCGGAUAACAUUUUGAACCGCAUGGUUCGAAAUUGAAAGGCGGCUUCGGCUGUCACUUAUGGAUGGACCCGAGUCGCAUUAGCUAGUUGGUGAGGUAACGGCUCACCAAGGCAACGAUGCGUAGCCGACCUGAGAGGGCGAUCGGCCACACUGUGACUGAGACACGGCCCAGACUCCUACGGGAGGUAGCAGUAGGGAAUCUUCCGCAAUGGACGAAAGUCUGACGGAGCAACGCCGCGUGAGUGAUGAAGGCUUUCGGGUCGUAAAACUCUGUUGUUAGGGAAGAACAAGUGCUAGUUGAAUAAGCUGGCACCUUGACGGUACCUAACCAGAAAGCCACGGCUAACUACGUGCCAGCAGCCGCCGUAA
rnacentral:rRNA from 1 species